CACAUCGAUUGGAGAGGGAAAUGAACGUCAGCAAGACAGUGGACCCCGAAAGGAGGUGGAUUGUGAGAUCCCUCAUCGAUUGGAGAGUGGAGCAAAUGUAGCGAGGAUGCUAGACCACGAAGGGGGUGGAUUGUGAGAUCCCACAUCGAUUGGAGAAGUGAAUAAGGAUACGAAUGCCAACAAGAACACUGGGCCUUGAAAGGAGGUAGAUUGUGAGAUCCCACAUCGGUUGGAGAGGAAAAUGAAACAUUUUUAUAAGGGAUGGAAACCUUUCCGUAACAGACGUAUUUUAAAAAU